ACUCCUACGGGAGGCAGCAGUGGGGAAUUUUGGACAAUGGGCGAAAGCCUGAUCCAGCCAUGCCGCGUGAGUGAAGAAGGCCUUAGGGUUGUAAAGCACUUUCAGCUGUGAAGAUAAUGACAGUAGCAGCAGAAGAAGCUCCGGCUAAAUUCGUGCCAGCAGCCGCGGUAAU
rnacentral:rRNA from 1 species